ensembl:lncRNA ZNF45-AS1 ZNF45 antisense RNA 1
AUUCUGUAGCCUAUGCUCGGAGGGCACAUGAGCAAGAGCUUGACCAUCUGUACCGUUGGUUGACUUGCUCUAUUAAGGGCUAUGAUUUCAGGUCGUCCUGCGUGUUUAGAGGAGGCGAGUGGAAUCUUGAGUCUCGGCUGGAGAAGGCAGAGCACGGGCAUGCAGACCUCAAAGCCUCAAACCUGCGUGUGAGAGGAGAAGUUGGCGAGCUCCAGCGUAUGGUCCACGGUUGGUAUUCUAGGUGCGAGCUGAGGACAGGGGCUUUUGUUUUUCGCGCUCCCAGGUAGCGCCAGCACCUAUAGUAGCUCCAGGAGCACAGAAGGCGUUAAGUGUGCAUUGGUUUUAGAGAAAGAAUGCCUGUGCGUUUUGUGUUUUCACUCUGUGACAUUGUGAAAUUCAUUGUGUGAGAACAUGGAUGGGGUUGUAUUCCGGAUUAUGGUUUGUUUCUAAGUGUGUUACUUUGGACAUGAAAUGGUUUGUUUCAGA